CAAUAGCGUAUCUUUAAGUUGUUGCGGUUAAAAAGCUCGUAGCUGGUUGUGUACUGUUGGAACGUGCCUGCCCUAGUGGCGUGGCGCGACUCCCUCAGUAUUUUCCUGCUUGCCAUCUGGUGGGCAGGUCGUAUACCUUGAGGAAAGCAGAGUGCUCACAGCAGGCGUUUGCCUUGUAUGUUAUAGCAUGGAAUAUUUUCAGAAGCUCCGGUCGUUCUUGGUGGUUCAAAUGGUCGGAUUUAAGGUCAAAAGAAACGGAUGGGGGCAUUCGUAUGUAAGCGCUAGAGGUGAAAUUCUUGGAUUGCUUACCGACGACCAGCGGCGAAAGCGUUUGCCAAAGACGUUUUCAUUGGUCAAGAACGAAAGUUGGGGGAUCGAAGACGAUUAGAUACCGU
rnacentral:rRNA from 1 species